rnacentral:rRNA from 1 species
UACAGAGGUCCCAAGCGUUGUUCGGAUUUACUGGGCGUAAAGGGUGCGUAGGUGGUGACGUAAGUCUGAUGUGAAAUCUCCGAGCUUAACUCGGAAAUGGCAUUGGAAACUACCUUGCUAGAGGGUUGGAGGGGGGACUGGAAUACUUGGUGUAGCAGUGAAAUGCGUAGAUAUCAAGUGGAACACCAGUGGCGAAGGCGAGUCCCUGGACAACUCCUGACACUGAGGCACGAAAGCUAGGGGAGCAAACAGG